GAUGAACGCUAGCGGCAGGCCUAACACAUGCAAGUCGAGGGGCAUCGCGGUGCAGCAAUGCACUGGCGGCGACCGGCGUACGGGUGCGUAACGCGUAUGCAACCUGCCCCGCACCGGGGGAUAGCCCGCCGAAAGGCGGAUUAAUACCCCAUGGCCCCGGGGGCCCGCAUGGGCAUCCGGGUAAAGCCUUGGCGGUGCGGGAUGGGCAUGCGUGCCAUUAGCUGGCUGGUGGGGUAACGGCCCACCAGGGCAACGAUGGCUAGGGGGUCUGAGAGGAUGGUCCCCCACACUGGUACUGAGACACGGACCAGACUCCUACGGGAGGCAGCAGUGAGGAAUAUUGGUCAAUGGGCGGAAGCCUGAACCAGCCAUGCCGCGUGAGGGAUGACGGCCUUGGUUGUAAGCUCUGUCAGAUGGGAAGAAAUAGGAGUGGGGGCGUAAUAUCGCCCACUCCUUCGACGGUACCAUCAGAGGAAGCACCGGCUAACUCCGUGCC
rnacentral:rRNA from 1 species